rnacentral:tRNA from 1 species
UGGGGUAUAGCCAAGCGGUAAGGCAACGGGUUUUGAUCCCGUCAUUCCUAAGUUCAAAUCUUAGUACCCUAG